rnacentral:rRNA from 1 species
UACGGAGGAUGCGAGCGUUAUCCGGAUUUAUUGGGUUUAAAGGGUGCGUAGGCGGACUGUCAAGUCAGCGGUAAAAUUGAGAGGCUCAACCUCUUCCCGCCGUUGAAACUGGUGGUCUUGAGUGGAUGAGAAGUACGCGGAAUGCGUGGUGUAGCGGUGAAAUGCAUAGAUAUCACGCAGAACUCCGAUUGCGAAGGCAGCGUACCGGCAUCCAACUGACGCUGAGGCACGAUAGCGUGGGGAUCAAACAGG